CCUGCUCAAUGCUUUUAAAUAGCCGCUUCAUGUGCUAAGGUAGCAUAAUAAAUUGCUCUUUAAUUAAGAGAUAGAAUGAAAGGAAGCACGAUUUAUUAAUUUUAUCUAACUACCCCCAUAAUUUAAUUAAUUUGUCAAAACUCAAUUUAAAUAAAGAAGGACGAUAAGACCCUAUCGAACUUCACUUCAAGUUUCACUGGGAAGGUCAAAAACCACAUCUUUUUAAUCCUCCCAAUUCACGCCCUAACAAUCGAAUUAAACCAAGUUACCGUAGGGAUAACAGCAUAAUAAUUUACCAAAGCCCUUAUACAAUAAAUAAUUUAUGACCUCGAUGUUGAAUUAAGUUCCUUUCACUAGAAAAAAAGCUAUACAGGAAGUCUGUUCGACUUUGAAACUUUUACGU
rnacentral:rRNA from 1 species